AAACCAUGAUGAGGACACUGUCUUAAUAAAUCUUUGAAUCUAUCCCAUGCUUUAAAUAGCAAUUCUCCAUUUUCUUGAGAAAAAUUUAUGAUAUAAUUCCUCAUACA